AAAAGUCUAGUACAAACAAUUGUUGACGAGAACAAUUGGAAAAGGCUCAUAAAGUUUGCACAUCAAUUUAUGUGUUAACUACAUGAAUUUAUAUUCAUAUCAUGUAACCAUUAUAUUAAAAAUAAUAUUUACAAAUACGAUAGGAUCAUAAUUUUCUUUCAAAACUUAUCACUAAACUUCUGAUCUUCUUAAUUUUCUGGAUAACUUUUUAUUUGAUGCUUUUGGGAACUGGACGGAGUUUAACAGGACAAAGUUACGUGAAAUUCUCAUAUUAACUGAUACAAAGUUAGUAUUGGCUAAUAUAAUGGGUCAUGUAUUGGCAUUGGGUUGCCAGCAAUUGGUUGGGUUAUGUUAACUAAUGUUCCCUUGCAAGUUUCAACAAUGCGACAAAUGAUUGUAUAACAAAGAUAUUUAUUGGUCGGUCGGUCUGUAACGCUUGGAGAAAAUGGAUAAAGAAGUUUAACGUAUAUCUAAAGGCAUCUGGAGUUUAUAAGGUAUGGUCAAGCCAGUCUCCUCAUAAACUUCUGCAAGGUCAAGUUACUUCCCCAUUUGGGCUACACCCGAUUUUGAGCAGAAUAUUUCCUACUGUCUGUAUGAGAAUACGGCAGUUAAACAAAACUAGAACAAAUUGCCAAUGAUAACACUAACCAAAGGUUAAAAACUUUUACAUGCUACCGAAUAUUCCGAACAAAGUCGGUCCUAUUCCUGUACUUAAAGAUAAAUAGACGUCAACUUUCAAUAGGCCAUUGUAAAAUAUACCGUGUCGAGACAACAAUGGACAUUUUCGCGGUCUCAAUAGACCUGUCAGCUGUUUCUUAGAUGUAUUUUUCAUAAUUUAAACACUCUUUUAUACAAAUGUAAGAAAUAUAAAUGUUUUAAUAAUGAUAUAUUGUUUUGCUUGUGUUGAACUUACAUUGAUGUAAUAUUGUAACAUGUAUUUUCGUAUGUCUGUGUGUAUCUUUUUAAAUAUUCCUUGAAAAACAUUUUUAAAAUAUUUUAUUCUUGUUUUUUUUUAUGUUAUAGAGUAAACCAAUAGCCAUAUUUUUAAAAACUAAUUAAUACUCUUAUUAUAUAAAAAAUAAUAAAUUAAAAUGUAUUUCUUAACCUCGUAAAUCGAUGUUUAUUAUUUCGAUCAAUAAUAGAAUUGGCUCCCGCGUAUCUUUUGUACUCCCUUAACAAAGAAAUGAAUUAGAGGCCAAUAUGCCGCACAGUUCCGCUUUCAAUUGGCGAAUGUAUGCUUUUCAGAACAACUUCAGAGGGUGAUAAAGACCUUUUUUUUUCCUUUACUAAAAUGGUAUGAAUUUUCUUAAUAAAUAAUUAAAGCUUUAGCCUUAAAAUCUUUCGCGUUUGCUUUUUCUGCCAAUAUUUAAAAUCGUAAGAAAUGCCAGAAUAUUUUAUCUUGGGCAGAUGGCAGGGCAAGAGUCAUCUUUGAUCACCUAAAGUUAUAGACACCAGAAAAAUCUCGAUGAAUCUUU
rnacentral:misc_RNA from 1 species